GGCGCAGGUGAGCCCGAGGCGGCUCCACGUGCCCCCAGGGCCCUUAGGGCCCCGCCUGCAGUCCGGGCUCGCGGAGAAAGGAAGCGGGCCGGGAGCCCAGAGGCGGGGACGUGGCCAUGCCGCGGGGAGCUGAGCAGAGCCUGCGGGCCUCUCGGGCUAACAAGGCGCAGAUAUGUGGGCAUCUCGGUUGCCUAACUCAGAGUCACCUGCUUCCAGGAGACCUCGGUUUUGUUCAUCUACUCUGAGCCCUUCCAAAGUCCUGCCUCGCCUACUUCCACUCUUUCCCAUUAGACAUCACUCAGUAAAACAUCCUGAGAAAAAGACUUAAAAUAAAUGCAGAGUGGGAGAAAAUAAUGGAGUUACUCCAUUGCUGCAACUAUGCUAACUAUGCAUGCAUAUGAAUAAAGAAGUGGGGAAUUACAUUCGUGGGUGCCUUAAGGCUGCUGUGAUCAGUUUUUAUUUUUGCUUUCUUUUUUUUCGAAUUCCCUUUUCUGUUGUCCUGAACACUCCGGAAUCCCCAAACUUUUCAGAAGCUCCCUCAUUUCUGAUGACUCCUGAUUUUGUCAGUUUUAAUCUGCCCCCGGGGAAUUAUCAUUCCGGUAUAAGGAUGACUUUAUGCCAAUUCAAGUACCUGCUUCCCUAGAGACCAGCAAUCUUGGUCUAGAGAUAGUGGAGAUCACUAGAAGGUCAUGGUCAUUAUUAAUGCUUUGGUAAGAAACUAUCCAAACAGAAAAUCAUGGUAAAGCUCCUUGGAUUCUCUUGCAUUUAAACAACUGACAAUAUAUUUCCCUACUGAGAAGAGAAAGCAAAUUACACAC
rnacentral:lncRNA from 1 species